AGCAGCCGCGGUAAUUCCAGCUCCAAUAGCGUAUAUUAAAGUUGUUGCAGUUAAAAAGCUCGUAGUUGAAUUUCGGGGUUAGUAGGUUGGUCAUGCCUCUGGUAUGUACUGGUCUCACAGAUUCCUCCUUCCUGAUGAUCCGUAAUGCCAUUAAUUUGGUGUUGCGGGGAAUUUGGACUGUUACUUUGAAAAAAUUAGAGUGUUUAAAGCAAGCUAACGCUUGAAUACAUUAGCAUGGAAUAAUGAAAUAGGACGUUCGAUCCUAUUUUGUUGGUUUCUAGGAUUGACGUAAUGAUUAAUAGGGAUAGUUGGGGGCAUUAGUAUUCAAUUGUCAGAGGUGAAAUUCUCGGAUUUAUUGAAGACUAACUACUGCGAAAGCAUUUGCCAAGGAUGUUUUCAUUAAUCAAGAACGAAAGUUAGGGGAUCGAAGACGAUCAGAUACCGUCGUAGUCUUAACCAUAAACUAUGCCGACUAGGGAUCGGAUGAUGUUAAUUUUUUAACGACUCA
rnacentral:rRNA from 1 species